GCCCUGAUGGUCUAGCGGUAUGAUUCUCCCUUAGGGUAUUCAUGAUACCAAAAUCUGGGAGAGGUCCCAGGUUCGAUCCCUGGUUAGGGCC
rnacentral:tRNA from 1 species